rnacentral:rRNA from 1 species
GCCAGACUCCUACGGGAGGCAGCAGUGGGGAAUAUUGCACAAUGGGGGGAACCCUGAUGCAGCGACGCCGCGUGAGUGAAGAAGUAUUUCGGUAUGUAAAGCUCUGUCAGCAGGGAAGAAGAAAGACGGUACCUGACCAAGAAGCCCCGGCUAACUACGUGCCAGCAGCCGCGGUAAUACGUAGGGGGCAAGCGUUAUCCGGAUUUACUGGGUGUAAAGGGAGCGUAGACGGCGAUGCAAGCCAGAUGUGAAAGCCCGGGGCUCAACCCCGGGACUGCAUUUGGAACUGUGUGGCUGGAGUGUCGGAGAGGCAGGCGGAAUUCCUAGUGUAGCGGUGAAAUGCGUAGAUAUUAGGAGGAACACCAGUGGCGAAGGCGGCCUGCUGGACGAUGACUGACGUUGAGGCUCGAAAGCGUGGGGAGCAAACAGGAUUAGAUACCCGCGUA